UACAGAGGGUGCGAGCGUUGUCCGGAAUCACUGGGCGUAAAGGGCGCGUAGGCGGUUUUGUAAGUCGGGGGUGAAAUGCUGCGGCUCAACCGCAGCGCUGCCUUCGAGACUGCAAGACUGGAGCACGGUAGAGGCGGAUGGAAUUCCCGGUGUAGCGGUGGAAUGCGUAGAGAUCCGGAGGAACACCAAAGGCGAAAGCAGUGUCCUGGGGAGUACCUGACGCUCAGGUGCGAAAGCCAGGGGAGCGAACGGG
rnacentral:rRNA from 1 species